GUGGGGAAUAUUGGACAAUGGGCGAAAGCCUGAUCCAGCCAUGCCGCGUGUGUGAAGAAGGUCUUCGGAUUGUAAAGCACUUUAAGUUGGGAGGAAGGGCAGUAAGUUAAUACCUUGCUGUUUUGACGUUACCGACAGAAUAAGCACCGGCUAACUUCGUGCCAGCAGCCGCGGUAAUACGAAGGGUGCAAGCGUUAAUCGGAAUUACUGGGCGUAAAGCGCGCGUAGGUGGUUUUGUAAGUUGGAGGUGAAAUCCCCGGGCUCAACCUGGGAACUGCCUCCAAAACUGCAUGACUAGAGUACGGUAGAGGGUAGUGGAAUUUCCUGUGUAGCGCUGAAAUGCGUAGAUAUAGGAAGGAACACCAGUGGCGAAGGCGACUACCUGGACUGAUACUGACACUGAGGUGCGAAAGCGUGGGGAGCAAACAGGAUUAGAAACCCGGGUAGUCC
rnacentral:rRNA from 1 species